rnacentral:ncRNA from 1 species
AAAAAGUUUAAUUUUGGCUUAAAAAUUCAAUUGAUUAUUAUUUUACAUGUAUAUUUUUAUAGAAAUUUUUUUUUUAGUAAAUAAUUUUAUUAAAAUUAGUCAUCUAAUUUUAGUAAUUAAUUUUGUAUUUAAUAAAAUUUGUGCCAGCAAUUGCGGUUAUACAAAUAAAUAAAUUGAAUAUUUUUAGAUGUAAUAAGCUAUUUUUUAUUAAAAAAUUGAAAUUAUGAGGUGAAAUUUAAAUUUCAAUAAUUAUUUAUAUUUAGUGAUUUAACAAAGAAAUAUUUAAACUAGGAUUAGAUACCCUAUUAUUAAAUCUUUAAUUUUAAAGUCUAAAUUAUUAAUAGCUAUGUUCUUAAAAAUUAAAAAAAUUGGCGGUGUUUCAGUCAAUUCAGAGGAACCUGUUCUGUAAUUGAUAUUCCACGAUAAGAUUAACUUUUUUUAUUAGUUUGUAUAUCGUUGUUUAGAAUUUCUUUUUUGAGAUAAUUUUCAAUUGUUUUUAUUAAAAUAAAUUUCAGAUCAAGGUGCAGCUUAUAAAUAAGAAGAGAUGGGUUACAAAAAAAUUAUAUUUGGUUAUAAAAAUUUAAUUUUUAUAUAAAUUGGAUUUGAUAGUAAUUAUAAGAAUUUUCUUAUAAUGAUCAUUGUUCUGUAAUAUGUACAUAUUGCCCGUCACUCUCAAUAUAUUUGAGAUAAGUCGUAACAAAGUAGAUGUACUGGAAAGUGUAUCUAGAAAUAU